rnacentral:lncRNA from 1 species
CAGCUGAAAAGAACCAUUAUGCUGCACGAGAUCCUAUCAGUGCCUUGAAGAAGUAUAUGUUUGAGAACAAUCUGGCAAGUGAAGCAGAGUUGAAGGCCAUUGAUAAGAAGAUUGAUGAACUGGUUGAAGAAGCUGUCGAGUUUGCGGAUGAAAGCCCUCAUCCUGUUCGUAGCCAGCUGCUCGAGAACGUGUUUGCUGAUCCAAAGGGCUUUGGCAUUGGGCCUGACGGAAGGUACAGAUGUGAAGAUCCCAAGUUCACCGAAGGCACUGCUCAUGUCUAGGUCUCAAGGCACAUUCAGUAAUCAAUAAUAUCAGGUUCUAAGUUACUGAAUUAGUGAUUGCCAAUUAUACUUCUAUAUAAAGGUCUGGAAGUCCUUAUUAGGAAGUUUGGUACAAAGGUACUUUAUUAUUUCAAUUUUAGUUCAAAAUUUUGUUGUUAUUAGUUUCACAUUGUUUUCAAGUUGUACUAUAUUAUGAACAACAAAAUCUUUUUCAAACACACAAUCUCUUAUUUGGAAAAACCAAGUUGUAUGGUUAUAAUAAUCGUCUCGUAUCCAAGGGUGUGGUUUAGUGGUCAAUGAAGUGGGUUGAGAGUCACGACAGGUUCAAAUUCUAGCAAAGACCAAAAAAAAGCCAUUAGGUGAUGUGUUCCCAUCUGUCCUAACCUUUGGUGGAUAGAUUUACCUAGUACCUGUUGCUGGUGGGAGGUGACGUGGAAUUAAUCGAGAUGUGUACAAACUUGGAAAACAUCACCUAAAAGUUUUUAAAUUCUCACCCAUCUGUUGCUCUGUAUCGAAGUUCGAUUAAAUUUCAAUCUUUAGUGAAAUGUCUCAUAUUAAAAAAAAUUAAAAUUUUUAUAACUGAUUCAAACUCGAAAUCUGAUGAAGAAUGAAGGAUCUAGAUGAUUAUUCUAUUUCUAAUUCUUUUUUAAUUUUUUGGAGGCUAAUGAGUAUUUUGUUUAGUUCCUUGUGGAAUUAUUUAAUUUAUUAAAUAAUUAGUAUAUUAGUUUUUUUUUUUGUCUAUUUAUAUAUAUUAUGCCUAAAUUACAGUCAUAUGAAGAAAAUAAUGUACACUUAACAUAAGAUAAAAUAGUCAAAUAAUUGUAGUGAUAUAUAAUUUGUUAAAAUUGUAAAGAUUUAUAACUAGAGAGAUUAAAACUAUGCAUAUAUCAAUUAGUUAAAGGUUAAAUUUGUUUAGAUAUAUCAGAGAUAGCACAAGAAUAAAAUUGAAGAUUAAAUUUGCUUAGAUACACAAUAAUAAAAAUUGAAAUUUGGUGAUAAUUAAAGAUUAAAAUAUUUUAAAUUAUUGGUUAUUAUAAAUUAUGGUCUAUUUGAUUUAUCUUAAAUAUUUUUAUUUUGAUUAGACACUAAUUUUUAGAAAAAAGCGAGUAACAUCGACAAAGAGACAAUCUUAAAUCGAAAAUGUGUUUUCAUGAAGUAUAAACAUCUCAAAAAGAUAAUAGAGACGUACAAAGAUUUACUCAACUUAAACAAAAAGUGACCUGCAUGUGCAAAAGCAUAAGAGAGAAUCUUCGUGAAAUUAAUUAUUAUGAAUUUUACAACAAAGUUAAUUGACAGAUUCAAUGACAAUAUAAAGAGAAUUCAAUUAAUUCGCUAUUUAAUACGAAUUGAUAAAAUGCAAAUUAUUCAAUAAGUAAAAAUAAAUUUUUUUUAAAAAAUAAAACAUAUCCAAACCCUAUUUAAUCAAAGUUUUCAAUUUCAAACCUUAGGUAUGAAAGUAUUUUUAGAUAACAUUUUCUUCUAAUGAAUGUUAUCAUAAUUAUUUAUAAGUUUUAAUAAAUCAUACGACAAUAUAAAUAUUAGACAUCGAACGAAACCGAGAGGGUGAGGCCUUUAAUAGUUCUAUCAAAUUAUUAGUCCAACUUCCCCAUUUUGAGUUCUUUGACGUUAAAUCCAACAAUUUGCUUACAUUUUCCCUUCUUGUUUUCUCCGCUCACUUCUUCCUUUAUAUAUCACGCUUCAUCUUCUGAACAAUCCCAUAAAAUACAUCAAGUUUUUCUCUGUAAUCAUGGCUGCAUCAGCCUCUUCUUUUGCUGCUAACAAUUUUCUGCAGCCUAUCAACUCCACCAGAUCCAUUGACAACAACAACAAGAAGACCCUUUUGGGAAAUCAGCUUAAAGACAGCUCCUUUUUUCUUGGAUCAGCUAAGAAACUCUAUAUGAAGAAACCCUUUUCGUCUCAGAACUCGAAAAGCCGAUCUAAUGGUGUUUUCGCUGUUUCUGAGGUUGUUAAGAACAAGAAGCCCAAUACAGACUCCUCACUCUCCAAUCUGGUACUUGCAUGUUUUUAGUUUCUUCUUAAAAAAUGUUUCUUUUUGAUAAUUGUGUUGUUCAGGCCAGCUUGUGUGCAGAUGGGAAGAAAUCACAAUUGAUGUUUGUUUUUGGUCUUAUGAGUUGUUUUUUACAAUUGGGUUAUGAUUGUUUAGAUCAAUGGUGUUUUGAACUGGAUUUCUGUUAAUUAAGUGCUUAUAUUUUGUUUUACCGAAAGUAUGAUGAUUUAGCAUUAAAUUUUGGUGUGAAUUCCGAUUUGGAGUAUAAAAUUUACAUACUUAGAGUCUGUAAGAUUAGUAGCAUUGUGUGAAUUUGGAUAUUGAUUAAGUGUUGUUUUGAAAACACGAUUUACAUAUUUCACAACUAAGUAAACUAAUGCACAACGUUUUGUGAUUGUUAGAACGGGUAAGAAUCUCACAUUGGUUGGGGUAUGGACGGAACGUGUGUUGAUAUGGAAUUGGGCAAUCCUCCCCUCGAGAUCUAGCUUUUGGGUUGAGUUAGACUCUGUGCCAUUUGGUGGGCCAAAGUAGUCUACCGGCGGUGAAAAGACGAUAGUAGACCAGACGGGGGCACCACCAGAACACCCGAAUAAGGAUCUAUUUUCUUUUGAAGCUAUAGUACAUAUGCACUUUAUACGUCUGUCUUACUAAUAAUAUUCCUUAGCGUACAUCUGUACUAUAAACCUACCCUCUGGGAGGUGUUUUCAAGGGAAGGCGGACUCCGCAGCUAGGUAUCAUAUUUGGGAUUCGCGUCCACGUUCUAGUUGGGCGUAGAUGUUAGGGGGUGGUGGUGUUAGAGUGUGUUAGAGUUUCACAUUGGUUGGGAAUAGACGGAUGAUUUGCUAAUAUGGACUUGCACAAUCCUUCCCUUAAGAGCUAGGUCAUGGGGUUGAGUUAGGGUCUAGUGCCACAUCUUUACCACAAUGAAAAAUAUCUAUAAAUGUUCCAAAAGUUGUAGUCAAAGAAAAAUGGUAAUAAGCUCUAACGCUAGUAAAAGUAUUAUAUAAAAUUGGACCAGCGUAGUUAUUUUUGUAUUUGCUUGUGUUAAUUCACUUACUGUAAGCAAAUCUAGUUUUAAUUCAAUUUUUUGUUUGUGUUGUCAAUCUAGUUAAUUACCAAGGAUGAAGGGUUGGAGUUGUAUGAAGAUAUGGUUCUUGGAAGAGCGUUUGAGGACAUGUGUGCCCAAAUGUAUUACAGGGGAAAAAUGUUUGGUUUUGUGCAUUUGUACAACGGCCAAGAGGCAGUCUCUACUGGGUUCAUUAAGCUACUGAAGAAGGAGGAUUCUGUGGUUAGCACUUAUCGUGAUCACGUCCAUGCAUUGAGCAAAGGGGUUCCAGCACGUCAAGUGAUGAGCGAGCUCUUUGGGAAGACCACUGGCUGUUGCAGAGGCCAGGGUGGCUCCAUGCACAUGUUCUCUAAAGAGCACAACGUUCUUGGUGGUUUCGCUUUCAUUGGUGAGGGUAUCCCUGUGGCAACAGGUGCCGCCUUCACUAGCAAGUAUAGAAGGGAGGUCAUGAAAGAGGCAGAUUGUGAUCAUGUAACUAUGGCCUUCUUUGGUGAUGGAACUUGCAACAAUGGCCAGUUCUUUGAGUGUUUGAACAUGGCUGCUCUUUGGAAAUUGCCCAUUAUAUUUGUUGUUGAGAACAAUUUGUGGGCAAUUGGAAUGUCUCACUUGAGAUCUACUUCAGAUCCUGAAAUUUGGAAGAAAGGUCCCGCCUUCGGGAUGCCUGGGGUUCAUGUUGAUGGCAUGGAUGUGUUGAAGGUGAGGGAGGUAGCAAAGGAAGCUGUUGCCAGAGCAAGGAGGGGCGAUGGUCCCACUCUGGUUGAGUGUGAGACUUACCGGUUUAGAGGACACUCUUUGGCCGAUCCAGAUGAGCUUCGUGACCCUGGUGAGAAUUCCAAUUCCCUUUCGUCUCUAGUGUACUUAUUUUAUAUUUUCCUAAUCCUUUCAGCUUUAUUUCUUUAUAGUAUACUGCGACUGGUAUUAGUAGUACCAGACUCUGGCUUAAGCAUAUAUUUUGAACUUGUUGAAUGUACCAACCAUUACAUUCUCUUUAUAUUCUAUUAGUCUAUCUCAUAAAACUCGUGUAGCUUUUCUGUAGUCUUUGUUAAAUGUGAUUUCAUUACACUUUUGACCCUUUUUGAGAAAAAAAACCAACUAGUUUGGAGUUGAGUCUUUGCUUUUAGUUGUUGUGCUGUUUGUAGUUAGAACUAGUGAAUACCAUGAUAUCUGCAUUUUGAUCUAUCGGACAGUCAAAAAUUGGUUGAAGACUAUGGAAAUUGCUAUGCUUAAGUAAUGUGAGAAAAUCUAUUAUUGCACUGGUAAAGUGUGUGCAAUGAAUGUUUUCGCCCUUUGAUCUCUAUUGCUUCCAUUUAAGACCAAAACUUUAAGUAUGAGUGUCACCCCAUAUUUGUAUACGGCGGAUGAAGUGUAUAGAUUAUAGACAACAUAAGAAAACUACGCACAACAAAAUUGCUCUCGUGGACAGAACUCCAGUUUUGAAAUGCUAUAAAUUUUAUGACAGCUUAUAAUAGAAUUAGCCUCUGAAAUCUAUCAUUUUUACUGUUACAUAUUAUUAGCCAAUGAUUUAUCUUAUUUGACGUUAAUCUGUUCAUCUUGGCAGCUGAAAAGAACCAUUAUGCUGCACGAGAUCCUAUCAGUGCCUUGAAGAAGUACAUGUUUGAGAACAACCUGGCAAGUGAAGCAGAGUUGAAGGCCAUUGAUAAGAAGAUUGAUGAACUGGUUGAAGAAGCUGUUGAGUUUGCGGAUGAAAGCCCUCAUCCUGUUCGUAGCCAGCUGCUCGAGAACGUGUUUGCUGAUCCAAAGGGCUUUGGCAUUGG